rnacentral:rRNA from 1 species
UACGAAGGGGGCUAGCGUUGCUCGGAAUCACUGGGCGUAAAGCGCACGUAGGUGGGUCGUUAAGUCGGGGGUGAAAUCCUGGAGCUCAACUCCAGAACUGCCUUCGAUACUGGCGAUCUUCGAGUCCGGGAGAGGUGAGUGGAACUGCGAGUGUAGAGGUGGAAUUCGUAGAUAUUAGGAAGAACACCAGUGGCGAAGGCGGCUCACUGGUCCGGUACUGACGCUGAGGUGCGAAAGCGUGGGUAGCGAACAGG